GGUGAGGGUUGGUGUACCAAAGCUCACAGUUGCUGGGACAAACCUCUGAGAGAAAGAUGUAGAGUUUUAUGAGUGUUCUACUGCUGUCUGCAGUUUCCAUGCUCCCCUACGCAAAGGGUCAACACGAAUACAACUCACUGACCAGCACACAGAAGACCAUUGUUGAUAUGGUAAUCGACCAUAUCAACAAAAAGGAAAAUACUAGACACAUACAUUUUGAAAAAACAAUUUCUCCACCAUAUAUAAGUGAAUGGCAAACUUACUUCAAAAUGUAUUUGAAGGAGACAACUUGUUCUCAGAUCAAACAGACGUUAAAAUAUGAACACCGUCCAGAUUGCCAGUCCCGAGGGAAACGUUUCAACUGUGUUGUUUGCAAGGUGGGCGGGUCCAGCAAUUACUACAUUAACUGUCUGCUCGCAAAAUUGGCACGCAUUGGCUCGCAAAAUUGGCACGAACGAAGUGGAACGAAAUAAUCACUGCCGCAUUCACCAUCAUGGGGAAGGCAACGUUGCAGCUUUAGAAUAUUCGGAUGUUAGUGCACGAAAUGUGCACCAGUAGAUGCUAUUUCAAAAGAAAUUCCUGCAUUAAAAUAAUGUAUCAUGACA